rnacentral:tRNA from 1 species
UGUUCUGUGGCUUAGUUGGUUAAAGCGCCGGUCUUGCGAAUACGGAGUCGUGGGUUCGAAUCCCACCAGAACGC